UGCCUUAAAUGCUGCUCCAUACUCUAAGGUCUCUGGGGCUAUUUACGGGACACCGCCGCUGCUGAGGGGAGAAGGAAGGGAAAAAGGGCGGGUCUUUGUCCCCAAAUCCUCCGGGGUAACACGCGGGUUAUGGGGUAGGGACAAGGGUUCCAGACCUCAAAAGAGGAGGGAAAUCCUCAAACCCAACCUUAUUUGUGAUUGAGGGCUGAAACUCGCCCUCAUGAAUAUGGAAUCCCUAGUAAUCGCGUGUCAUAAACGCGCGGUGAAUACUUCCCUGCUCCCUUGCACCUAAAUUUUUGCCGUCCCCAAAACCCUAGUCAAAAUUCCCAGUCCCUGCUCCUUGCACAAAU
rnacentral:rRNA from 1 species